CCAACAUAGGGGCGUGGCAUGGAAAAUAUUUAAGGAUUUUAUUUUACAGUUGUUCUUCAAAUUUCGGAGAGAUAUUUGCAGCACAAUUUAUGCCGACAAUUUUUUCAUAACUUUGGAUUUGGCGCGUAUCGAAUAAGACAUGUGUGCCUCGGGAAUUCCAAAAAAAUCAUACGCGCCCUGUCGACAGCACAUUGUUCAGCAUCAACGAAGGCGAUACCGCACUAUGUUCAUAUGUGCCCAAGACGAACAAAACGGCAAUUUUGCUGUCGACACAUCAUUAUACUUGCGGUGUGGACAUGCAAACUGGAAAUAAGAAGCCGUUUGCUAUUUUGCAUGACAACGCCAAUAAAUUGGGCGUUGAUACAAUAGACCAGAUGCUUGGCACAUAUACAUGCAAGCGCUCAACAAACCGCUGGCCAUUGGCUAUGUUUUAUAAUACGGUGGACAUUGUUGCAUUUAUUGCAUACAAUGAGAUGAAGCCAAUAAAAGGAAGUAACAGACGACGGUCAUUCCUACUGGUGCUGACAAAACAAAGAGGGACGAGUGAUGAACAACCGCAUACCCAAGGAUAUGGAACGCAAUGGAAGCAUAUGAUGUAAAGAUAUUAAAAAGGCCGCCAGAAGGAACUGUACCUACGUUUGCGUCUAUAACUAACAGACCGUCAUGUCGCCUAUGCCGUUCUGAGUACGGACGGCAGCAAACAAGGGCCUAUUGCCAUUUCUGUAACGAUCCAGUUUGUGCAGUUUUUUAGGCUUUUUUCAUAUAAAACUCAUAAAAAGGUUAUGUUAUAUAUAAACUUUUUUUCUA
rnacentral:sRNA from 1 species